CACGUAGGGCGCAAGCGUUGUCCGGAAUUAUUGGGCGUAAAGAGCUCGUAGGCGGACUGUCACGUCUGCUGUGAAAAGCUGGGGCUUAACCCUGGCCUUGCAGUGGAUACGGGCAGACUAGAGGUAGGUAGGGGAGAAUGGAAUUCCCGGUGUAGCGGUGAAAUGCGCAGAUAUCUGGAGGAACACCGGUGGCGAAGGCGGCAUCCUGGACCGGUAUUGACGCUGAGGCGCGAAAGCUAGGGGAGCAAAGCGGGGAUUAAGAAACCCGGGGUAGUACCC
rnacentral:rRNA from 1 species